UACGUAGGGUGCAAGCGUUAAUCGGAAUUACUGGGCGUAAAGCGUGCGCAGGCGGCUUUGCAAGACAGAUGUGAAAUCCCCGGGCUUAACCUGGGAACUGCAUUUGUGACUGCAUGGCUGGAGUGCGGCAGAGGGGGAUGGAAUUCCCAGUGUAGCGGUGAAAUGCGUAGAUAUUGGGAGGAACACCAGUGGCGAAGGCGGCUCACUGGACCGGUACUGACGCUGAUGCGCGAAAGCGUGGGGAGCAAACGGG
rnacentral:rRNA from 1 species